rnacentral:rRNA from 1 species
GCUUACGGCCACACCGCCUGGUUCACGCCCGAUCUCGUUUGAUCUCGGAAGCUAAGAUAGGUUGGGCCUGGUUAGUACUUGGAUAGGAGACUGCCUGGGAAUACCAGGUGCUGUGGCUU